rnacentral:rRNA from 1 species
UACGUAGGGUGCAAGCGUUGUCCGGAAUCAUUGGGCGUAAAGCGCGCGUAGGCGGCCAGAUAAGUCCGGUGUGAAAGUCACAGGCCCAACCUGUGAAUGCCGCUGGAAACUGUCUGGCUUGAGUCCGGAAGGGGCGAGUGGAAUUCCUGGUGUAGCGGUGAAAUGCGCAGAUAUCAGGAGGAACACCAAUGGCGAAGGCAGCUCGCUGGAACGGUACUGACGCUGAGGCGCGAAAGCGUGGGGAGCGAACAGG